UACGAAGGGGACUAGCGUUGUUCGGAAUUACUGGGCGUAAAGCGCACGUAGGCGGAUUUGUUAGUCAGGGGUGAAAUCCCCGGGGCUCAACCUCGGAACUGCCUUUGAUACUGCAAAUCUCGAGUCCGAUAGAGGUGGGUGGAGUUCCUAGUGUAGAGGUGAAAUUCGUAGAUAUUAGGAAGAACACCGGUGGCGAAGGCGGCCCACUGGAUCGGUACUGACGCUGAGGUGCGAAAGCGUGGGGAGCAAACAGG
rnacentral:rRNA from 1 species